AGUCUAUAGGGCAGGGUACGGGGUAGGGGGCAGGCUAUGGAGGGGUACGGAGUCAGUCCAGUCAGGCAUCCCUCAGCGGUGGGCGGGAGAGGAACAGAAGACGAUCGGGGAAGGAAGGAGUUUGUCAGCGGCUAAGGAAGCUUGGAGAAGGAGCAAAACCAGUGGCAGCAGUGAGAGAUCGAGGCUCCUUAACCCCCCCCCUGCGAGGACGCCCAGCACACUGUCUCUAUCUGUCCGCGUCUGUCUGUUCCUCGUCCUCGCCUCCACGCCUCGCCUGCAGGGCUCGGUGUCAUAAUAUCAAGAGGCUUCUGGGGCGGCCUGGCUCAUAUCGUGCAAGGAAAGAGUUGUCAGAAAUCCUGUGCCACCAAUAUUCAAUGUUCAGUAUGCAGAGUACAGUGUGGUGGAGUGGCUGAGGUCUCCAUCGCCGCCCCAAUCACACCAAGCCCUGCCUAUGUGUGUGGACCUAUACUGAACUGUUCGAGAGGUUUGACGGACGGCUGUAUUGUACGAGACCAGCUUGCGUACAACAUCUGAUAUCAGUCUCCUUGCUGGCUAUCACUACAGGCGGCUUGUUCGAGGGCCGAGACACCGCUUGACUGACCCACACUGACCCAUAACAUGAACCCACAGUGCACCACCACCUUUAAGAAGCAGGAACAUGACAGCAGAGGGGAGAACGUACUCAGAAGAACAGUUACAGUCCCUUGCCGACCCAUUUCUAAGACCAGGAACUAAGGAUGCUUGUAGAGUGAACUGCUUUGAGUCUUGUCCUAUGCUGUCCUAUGUCCUAUGCUGUCCCGUGUUAAUGUCUGGGUAGAGAGACUGGAUUGUUUGUUAAGAGGAGGAUGGAGUACGCUAACAUCAGACAGAGGUGGAGGACGUUGGGAAAGGCCUUGUUCUUCCUUGUCUCCCCCCCAUCCACCCUAGCCAUCUAGUUAACUGUUUAGAGUCUUGUGAUGCACUGCUUCCGACUAAUCUCUUAACGACAGGAACUAAAAAUCUCUGAAAUUCAAGUCUUCUAAUGCACGGUUUCCCAUCUCUAUAAAAAUGCUUGAAAUGUUAACUGUUAUCUAUAAGGACAUUAAAUAAAGAAUGAUUGUAGAGUUAACUGUAUGAAGUUCUCUAAUGCACAGUUGUUAAUCCGUCUCUUACGACAGGAACCAAAGCACUCUUGUAAAGCUGAUCCGAGUCUUAUAAUGCACAGUUUACAAGAUCUAUCACUAAAGACAUUAACUAAAGCAUGAUUGUAGAGUUAACUGUAUGAAGUUCUCUAAUGCACAGUUGCUGAUCCAUCUCUUACGACAGGAACCAAAUCACUCUUAUAAAGUUGAGUCUUAUAAUAGACAGUUUAUGAUCUAUCACUGAGGACAGGAGCUAGAUAAUGCUUGUAGAGUUAACAGUUUUAAAGCAAGUAAUAACAUCAGAAUUCAAAUGUUAAUGUACAGCAAAGAUUUUCACAUUUUAAGACAUUUCAAAUUUAGUAGUGCAACCUAUGUCCUGUUCUAUACUGUCCCUGUUUGUCCUGUGAUGUCCUAUGCACUGUUCAUCACGUUUCCAAAAGGCUGCUCAAUAAACGUAAUGGAACGGAGA